rnacentral:rRNA from 1 species
UACGUAGGGUGCAAGCGUUGUCCGGAAUUAUUGGGCGUAAAGGGCUCGUAGGCGGUCCAUCGCGUCGGGAGUGAAAAGCUGGGGCUCAACCCCAGUCCUGCUUCCGAUACGGGGUGGACUAGAGGUAUGCAGGGGAGAACGGAAUUCCUGGUGUAGCGGUGAAAUGCGCAGAUAUCAGGAGGAACACCGGUGGCGAAGGCGGCCUGCUGGGCAGUUUUGCUGACACUGGAGGCGCGACAGCGUGGGGAGCGAACAGG